rnacentral:misc_RNA from 1 species
UCCUAGUUAACCUAGGCAGUCUCAUUAGAGUCCCCACCUCGCGUGUUGGCAACUAAUGAUAAGGGUUGCGCUCGUUGCGGGACUUAACCCAACACCUCACGGCACGAGCUGACGACAGCCAUGCAGCACCUACAUAGCAGCCCUUGCGGGAAGCUCUAUUUCUAGAGCGGUCUCCUAUAUUUCAAACCUGGGUAAGGUUCUUCGCGUUGCAUCGAAUUAAACCACAUGCUCCACUGCUUGUGCGGGCCCCCGUCAAUUCUUUUGAGUUUCACCCUUGCGAGCGUACUCCCCAGGCGGUAUACUUAUCGCGUUAGCUCCGACACAGCCAGGGUUGAGCCUAGCUACAUCAAGUAUACAUCGUUUACGGCAAGGACUAC